AACGAACGCUGGCGGCAUGCCUAACACAUGCAAGUCGAACGAGACCUUCGGGUCUAUUGUCGCACGGGUGCGUAACGCGUGGGAACCUUCCUUUAUGUUCGGAAUAACUCAGAGAAAUUUGAGCUAAUACCGGAUGAUGUCUUCGGACCAAAGAUUUAUCGCCUUUGGAUGGUCCCGCGUUGGAUUAGCUAGUUGGUGGGGUAAAGGCCUACCAAGGCGACGAUCCAUAGCUGGUCUGAGAGGAUGAUCAGCGACACUGGGACUGAGACACGGCCCAGACUCCUACGGGAGGCAGCAGUGGGGAAUAUUGGAAAAUGGGCGGAGGCAUGAUCCAGCAAGGCCGCGUGAGUGAUGAAGGCCUUAGGGUUGUAAAGCUCUUUUAACCGAGAUGAUAAUGACAGUAUCGGGAGAAUAAGCCCCGGCUAACUCCGUG
rnacentral:rRNA from 1 species